AUAAAGCCUUUUGAAAUAGUGGAGGUGAGUGUUUGAGAAUACGAGCCUUAAUUAGAUAGUUUUUUUUCUUUUCUUUUAUCUCUUUUUUUUUUUAUUGGUGAUGUGGUAGUGUUAAAUCGCAGCUCAAGAUUUCAAAAGCACCCUUGGAAAUUCUCGUCACUUGCACUAACAGGAGUCUGGUAAAUGUAAGAAAUAGCGGUAUCAUGUUUGCUGGAGCGUGAGUAUUGGUUUGUCCUAUAGAGCAAAAAGAUAAGAAAGGCACCAAUGAUAUGCCCAAUGAUGCGUGUUUAUAAGUAUCGCAAAGACCAGUCAUACGGAAAAGAAGAAAAUAACACAAUGAAGAAAAACAAAAGAAAAACAAGUAGAAGAUAGAAGAGAGAGGUGAUUUUACACGAGUAUCAUGAAGAAGUAAAGUGGAGUAAAGUAAAGCAGGAAAGUAAAGUAAAGGAAGAGAAGAAGAAAGGUGAGUGUGAAGACAACUAGGGGUUAAACUAUCAGCUUGUUACUUUAAAGGUAACGAGGCCAGAAACUAUCGGGGUAUUUUGGAACUAUCUUCUUGCUUAUUGGUCAUUUUGUUGGAACUAUCUCUUUGCUUCACAUUUCGGAUCUUCGAGGUACCGUCUCCUGCGCUGAAUUCCGGCUUCCGACCUGACGCCUGGGCGACGAGACCGAGGGAAGGCAGAUUCUCCUGAGCUCUGGCUGAGUCAACACUACCUAGACUCGCCUCUGCCUCCAAAAGUAUUCUCCCGUGAAGCCCUGCUCACCGCUCGCUUUGGGGACCUGAGCCAGUCUCCUGGGAGCCGUGUGUAGCCAGCCUGAGUCCAGACCAGCCUAUGGAUGAACCACCAUACUACUCUGGCUUGCUGGUGGUUCUGCAUCCACCUCCUGUUUCAAUCCUGGUCACCGCUGGAUACCGUUCUGCCUACUCUUCACCCCUACACCCUGCUCCAUUCCUCGUCCUCUCCUUGGGAUCCUGUACCCGUGUGCUGCUCCCGGGACGGCCGUGUGUUAAGUGGAUGGGCGUGGUACCAGCGCUAGAGCAACAACCUCUCUAAGUGGCGACGAACGUCCAUAUAGUUAGUGUGUUGGAGUGCUUUCAUUUUUUCAUUACUCUGUUUAUUCCUCUGCAGCUCUGGGAGGGAAGGCCACAUCCCUGGUUUUUAGUGGAAGAAGGCAGUGUUAUUUCCAUCUGUCGAGUUACCUGCCUCGAGCAUUCACUAGUGGCGACCUCGCCAAGACUGUGCCUUCUCGACCCUCUGUUGUGGAGUAUGUAGUGCUAACGGUCAUCGUUGGGGGACAGGUAGUGUUACCUUCCCCGGCGCAUUAUCAAAGGCUCGGAAGUGAGUAUUUUUGACUGUUGGUUUGUGAGGGCUUGUUUCUAAUCACUUGCGUCUUUAAGGACUCCGGUUGAGUCCUUUAUGUUGUCAGGUGCGGAGUUUUUCCUGUGACGUCAUGUAUUUUUCUCUAUUGCUUCCUUGGGCGUCCUUUAUUCACGGAUUAUUGUUUCCUUUGUGUUCAUGUCUCCUAUCAAGGAGCUAGUUGAGUUGGGAAGAGAUGGGACUCGGGAGUGACGAGCUACGUGAGUCUUGUUUCUACUCGGCAACCGUUGCAACGAGACGAAAGAGGGUGAAGAGAGGAAAGAAGGAAAGGAAAUCGAACAUGCCCUUGCCAUGUCCGAAUUAAAGCUGUCACUGCAAGAACAAGGAACAAACCGAGAUCCAGUGAUCUUGCCUGGGGAUUGUGGGACUGUUCCCCGACGUUCUCUACUAGUCUAUCAAGACGAUCUGACCUCCUAAUUCACACGCUUUGAACUUAUUGCUGCCGUGCUCAACAUUAAUCAGGACAACUAUGCCAUUCGACUGGGUGGUCUUCUCUCUGGUAAGCUAGCAGAAAUCUACACUACCUUGGCUGAUGACUUAAUUUGUGACUAGCCUAAACUUAAAUCCUCUCUCCUAAGAAGUUUCAGUCUCAGAUCUUUUGUAAUUAUGGACUAGUUUCUUGCCUCUAUUUCUCCAGAUAUAAGAACCUUCUUGAAAGAAAACGACGUGUAGACCUUGGACGACGCUGUCAAACUUGCAGAUAUUUGGGCAGCUGCCCAUUGUGCUUACCCGAGACACACCCAGCUGGACGAAGCCGUCACCUACAUCUCCAACUACCACCAACCAAGCUUCUCGCCGAUCUCCUCCACCGGCCAGGAAGUCUUCGACACCCGUCAGGUGUCACAAUUGUGGGGAGCCAGGACACGUUCGACCUCGAUGUCUCUAAAAUCCAGCUUUGUUCAGGACUGGUAGCACUCCUCAACCAGACACACAUAAGGGUGCACGAGGCAGCGGACGAUCCUACUCACGUGACCACCACCACCACCACCGUAGUCGUCGCCGCCACCACCACCACCACCACCACCACCAGCGCCAUCCCUAUCUACAUUUCUUGUUUUCAUGUAAAGGAGAAAACUGGCUAUGGACAAUAAAAAUAUCUAUAAAAGUCA
rnacentral:lncRNA from 1 species